rnacentral:rRNA from 1 species
CACGUAGGACGCAAGCGUUAUCCGGAAUUACUGGGCGUAAAGGGCGUGUAGGCGGCACGGUAAGUCAACCGUGAAAGCUCCCGGCUAAACUGGGAGAGGUCGGAUGAGACUGCCGAGCUAGAGGGUCGUAGAGGGGUGUGGAAUUCCGGGUGUAGUGGUGAAAUGCGUAGAGAUCCGGAGGAACACCAGAGGCGAAGGCGGCACCCUGGACGACACCAGACGCUGA